GGAAGCUGGGGAACUAUGUACCCAGCCUGGGAAACUGCCCAAGAGGCUGGCAAGAGAGCAGCG
rnacentral:SRP_RNA from 13 species